UUUCAGAUGUCUCUGCUACACCAGGACCUGAAUUCAAGGUAGAUAGAAGCAAUUUCUUAGAUGCAAUGCUAGUCACUACUGUGGGAUACUUCCAUUCACCACCUUUGGCCAGGCAGUUGUUCAAGACUGGCUUAACUACAUUCUUCUAUUCUGACUCCCACCCUGGCUGGCCCUGGGAGAUGUGAAGAAUGGGCAUUGCAUUUAGAGGAAAUUGGAAGGCCCUGGCACCCUGUCUGCCAUGACUUAUUUUUGUGCAGAGAAUGAUGAGAAGAUGUGGUGUAGUUGUGUUCUGUAUUCCAUCAUGUUAGUGAAGCAGGCUUUUUUGAGUUGAAAAGCAGGUUCAAGAAAUAUGUUAAAAGUUCUUAUGCAUUCAUGUAUCUGUGAAGUAUUUGAAGGCUCUCCUUAGACCUACCUGGAUAAGCUGUGAUAUCUUGUAUGGAGUGUAAAAAGAUUCACAUGAGCAAGUUACAAGGUCUUUUGGAAUUCUUUUACCUUUGUUUCUUCUC